rnacentral:pre_miRNA from 1 species
GUGUGUGUGGAUGGUAUUUAUCACUAGGGACAGGUGUGUUUACCUUUGUUGAUGGCGUUAAACACCAGGGACAGGUAUGUUUACCU